AGAGCGAACGCUGGCGGCAGGCUUAACACAUGCAAGUCGAGCGGGCGUAGCAAUACGUCAGCGGCAGACGGGUGAGUAACGCGUGGGAACGUACCUUUUGGUUCGGAACAACCCAGGGAAACUUGGGCUAAUACCGGAUAAGCCCUUACGGGGAAAGAUUUAUCGCCGAAAGAUCGGCCCGCGUCUGAUUAGCUAGUUGGUGAGGUAAUGGCUCACCAAGGCGACGAUCAGUAGCUGGUCUGAGAGGAUGAUCAGCCACAUUGGGACUGAGACACGGCCCAAACUCCUACGGGAGGCAGCAGUGGGGAAUAUUGGACAAUGGGCGCAAGCCUGAUCCAGCCAUGCCGCGUGAGUGAUGAAGGCCCUAGGGUUGUAAAGCUCUUUUGUGCGGGAAGAUAAGUGACGGUACCGCAAGAAUAAGCCCCGGCUAACUUCGUGCCAGCAGCCGC
rnacentral:rRNA from 1 species